AUUUAAAUAGCUUAAAUUAGAGUGUAAUAUUGAAGCUAUUAUGGUGGAGGAUCUCCUUUAAAUA
rnacentral:tRNA from 1 species